rnacentral:lncRNA from 1 species
AGAUCCGCUGGGAGCCAGAAGAGGAAAGCACAGGCCCUGCCCCCUCUUUUUUUCCCUUCCCAAUCCGCAGCUUGCUGGGCGCGCCAAGCCCGGACUUCCGCCCUGCGCGUGCCGUUUCCUUCAGACCCGGAAGCAGAUCGCACGGAGUUAACCUUGGGCGGCAGCACGUCUGUAAAGAUUAAACUUGGGCUUCGCAGUCCUCUGGUGCUUCCGUACCUGGGAUCUGCAGCCUCUGGAGCGGCUGGGUCUUGUUUGUCCACAUCUGCCACUGCUGAUGCUGGGGCUGUCACCAUCGGACCUUUGCCUAUCACUGGACAUCUUGGUAAGUUAUCGCUUGGAAAACUUGGCCGCCCGCCUGGCCUGUUCACACGCCACUAUGGUGUGGGGGAGGGAAAGAGAAAAAAACUCUUCCUUAAGGAAAUGGAGGCAGCUGUGGCGGGGGGAAAGGGGAAAGGGGGAAAAAAAGAAGCCGAGGAGGCUCUGACCGGGGAAUGUGGAACACUGAAAGUCAGAGGGGGUUGUGCAGUCAGAUCGCGCCCAUUCUUUAAGAAUUGUACUCCUUUUGUAUUCUUAAACUUUAAAGAUCAUAUUUGGGAAGUUUAAAAUAAGUAUUUUUGUGUAAUAUUUACACAUUUCAAUAUUAUUUACCAUCUGUACUCAAUUGGAAACCUAUUGGUCAUUAUAUUUUGUAGAUAUCUCUUCGAAAAGCAUGAUGGAAUUCUCGUCAACAGAGCAAGGUAAUACAGGAGAAGGUUUCUACAUAGGGAUGUUGGAAAGACAUAAAAGUCAUCACAUUGGAGAUUUUUGCUUCCCAGAAAUUAAGAAAGAUAAUCAUGACUUAGUUUUAGUGGAAAGAAGAUGAAAGAAAUGGCCACAAAACAUCCAUAACAAAAACCAAAACGUUUACUGAUAGUACAGAGUGAUAUGAUCGAAGGCAUGCUAGAAACAAGCCUAUUAAAGAUCACUUGGAGUAAGCUUUCAUUCGCAUCUGCCUGAACUGCACGUAUUUCAGACCAAAAGGAAAAUUGGUAAUCCAGUGGAGAAGUCUAUCAACAAUGCUUCCUCAGUUUCAACAGCCCAAAGAAUUUCUUGUAGGCUCCAAACCCAUAUUUCUCAUAAGUAUGGGAAUAAUUUCCUCCAUUCUUCAUUAUUCACACAAAAACGUAAGAGAAAAACCUUGCCAAUGUAAUGAAUUUGGCAAAGCCUUUAAUUGUAGGUCACUUUGUAAAUACUUCUAAUGAUUAGUGUUUGGCUUACUGGACACGCCUUUGAAAAACAUGAGUUUGGUCCUCCCAUCAUAAUCUACCUAAAAGGUAGGUACAAAUCAACACAUUUGAUAGGUUGUUGGGAACAAGCCCCCCCAAAAUCUGGCCAUAAACUGGCCCCAAAACUGGCCAUAAACAAAAUCUCUGCAGCACUGUGGCAUGUUCAUGAUGGCCAUAAUGCCCCCGCUGGAAGGUUGUGGGUUUAGCGGAAUGAGGGCAAGGAAUACCUGACCCACCCAGGGCAGAAAACCACUUAAAGGCAUUCUUAAGCCACAAACAAUAGCAUGAGCGAUCUGUGCCUUAAGGACAUGCUCCUGCUGCAGUUGACUAGCCCAACCUAUUCCUUUAAUUUGGCCCAUCCCUUCAUUUCCCAUAAGGGAUACUUUUAGUUAAUUGAAUAUCUAUAGAAGCAAUGCUAAUGACUGGCUUGCUGUUAAUAAAUACGUGAGUAAAUCUCUGUUCAGGGUUCUCAGCUCUGAAGGCUGUGAGACCCCUGAUUUCCCACUUCACACCUCUGUAUUUCUGUGUGUGUGUCUUUAAUUCCUCCAGCACCGCUGGGUUAGGGUCUCCCCGACUGAGCUGGUCUCGACUAUAGGUGAAAUUAAAAGAUGAAAUUAGGCCGGGCGCGGUGGCUCAAGCCUGUAAUCCCAGCACUUUGGGAGGCCGAGACGGGUGGAUCACGAGGUCAGGAGAUCGAGACCAUCCUGGCUAACAUGGUGAAACCCCGUCUCUACUAAAAAUACAAAAAAAAACUAGCCGGGCGAGGUGGUGGGCGCCUGUGGUCCCAGCUACUCGGGAGGCUGAGGCAGGAGAAUGGCUUAAACCCAGGAGGCAGAGCUUGCAGUGAGCUGAGAUCUGGCCACUGCACUCCAGCCUGGGCGACAGAGCGAGACUCCGUCUCAAAAAAAAAAAAAAAAAAAAAGAUGAAAUUAUAUCAAGACAAAGAAAAUUGUGGUUGAAAUUCUUUGUAUACUGGGAGAGGAAAAACUGGCAGUUCCAUGGCACAAAUCAAGAAAUAUUGAUAAAGUAAAGAUCACUAAAUUGGUCUAUGUAAAAUUAAAAAUAUCAGUCGGGCACGGUGGCUCAUGCCUGUAAUCCCAGCACUUUGGGAGGCCGAGGUGGGUGGAUCACCAGAGGUCAGGAGUUCAGAUCCAGCCUUGACCAAUAUGGUGAAACCCCAUCUCUACUAAAAAUACAAAAAUUAGCUGGGUAUUUUGGCAUCCACCUGUAAUCUCAGCUACUAGAGAAUCAGGCAGGAGAAUCGCUUGAACCCAGGAGGCAGAGGUUGCAGUGAGCCAAGAUCACGCCAUGGCACUCCAGUCUGGGAAACAAGAGUGAAACUCCUUCUAAAAAAGAAAAAAGAGAGAGAGAGAUAAUGGACAGUGUUGUGGAAUGAAUGUGUCCAUCCCAGAACAUAUAUGUUGAAAUUCUAACCCUCAAUGUGAUGGGAUUAGGAGUUGAAGACUGUGGGAGGUGAUUAGAUCACAGAAGGGAACCCUCAGGAAUGGAUGCAUGCCCUUAACACAAGAGGCACCGAGCACUUGGUUCCUUGUCUCCCUGCUCUCUGUUUGCUUGAGGCCACAGCAGAAGAUAUAUCACCCAGCUACAUCUGGACCACAUCGGCUGCAAAGCACGUCGUUAACCUUGGCAAAGUAAACUUUCUAAAUUGAGACCUAUUAGAUACUUUUGGUUCACAAGCUCAUGAACACAGACGAAAUCAAGAUAGAAAACAAACGAUCUAAUGAAAAGCAUAAAAUAAGUUCAUAAAUCUGAACUCCAUAUAUAUUGAACAUAGAGGAAAUGGUCUUCUCAAACUGUGUGUUUAUAUUAGAUCGCAUUUUUGAAAGACAUUUCUAAUAUUUGAUUAACCAUCCUAUGUAGUUUUAGCCAAUAUAAAACUGAAAAUAAAUGAUCAAUUGUAUACAUACAUUUAACUUCUUAAUAUUUCCCAUAGCGUUGCUAUUACUAUUUUAUGUUAUUGGAGUAGGUGCUCAGUCUAUCUUUGAUAUAUUACUGGAGUGGUGUCUUCCACAAUGGUGCUCAGACUCUGUGGUGUACGAGUGGAUAAACUGUUAAGCAGGAACCUAGGAGAGCCAGGAUGUCAAAACUCAAGUCCUUUAAAACUAGGAAGACAUACUCCUUACUGCACAAGUCAAGGUCAUAAGAUGUUAAUGGUUAAGGAAAGCAGCUUAUGGUAUCUGCAAGGACAAACUCCUACAGAAACACAAUUCCACAUGACCCAAUAUCCCAUGACAAUGUAUGCUUCGAAGAUAAUUACAGUCAUGCUUUCAAGUACUUGCACACUAAAAUACCAAGGAUCGCUUUAAAUCAACAAAGUAGUAAGUUUUGUCACACUAUCAGCCCACCAGCAGUUAGCUUAGCUUUUACCUAAGCCCCUAAACAAGAAAAACUUGAAACAAGAGGCAUUCCCCCUGCUUUCUGAGGAACCCUACUGUGUAACUAGUAGCUUUUUUUUUUUUUUUUUUUUACAAAGAGUUUCGCUCUUGUUGCCCAGGCAGGAGUGUGAUGGUGUGCUCCGGGCUCACCACAACCUUCACCUCCCGAGUUCAAGCCAUUCUCCUGCCUCCGCCUCCCGAGUAGCUGGGAUUACAGGUGCCCACCACCAUGCCCGGCUAAGUUUUGUAUUUUUAGUAGAAAAAUACAAAAUUAGAGACCAGCCUGUUGACUAGGCUGGUCUCUAACUCGACCUCAGGUGAUCCGCCUCCGGAAGUGCUGGAAUGACCUGUUUUUCUUCUUAAUUUGAAAGUGGUUUAAAUGCAAAGCAGGUGAGCAGGUAAAGACGCCUGGGGGCGGGGGGCGGGGGCGAGCUCCUGGGGUAGCUGGGGUAGGGGGAGGGCGAGGUGGCAAGGACCUCGGUAAGGGGGUGGAGUGCGGCGCUGGUUGCAGCCAGGACCGAGAUUUAGAACGGCUUGUUUAGGUGCCCGGAGCGGUGGCUCACGCCUGUAAUCCCAGCACUUUGGGAAGCCGACGCGGGUGGAUCACGAGGUCAGGAGAUCGAGACCAUCCUGGCUAACACGGUGAAACCCCGUCUCUACUAAAAAUAUAAAAAAUUAGCCGGGCGCGGUGGCGGCGCCUGUUGUCCCAGCUACUCGGGAGGCUGAGGCAGCAGAAUGGCGUGAACGCGGGAGGCGGAGCUUGCAGUGAGCGGGAGAUCGCGCCACUGCUCUCCAGCCUGGGCGACAGAGCGAGACCCGUCUCAGAAAAAGAGAUGCCUCUUUAAGCAAGGACCUGUGUUGUUUGAGUGGCUAAUGGAAAAUGAAGGGUGACAUGCAUGUGGAACUGCCUAUUGCACACUGGAGGUGAAGGACAACUUUCCCGUCCUUUCUUUUCUCAAGACAUUUAUUUAGAAAACUUGUAACUGUGUUUUCUCUGUCUUCUUUGUUUUUUGUUUUUGUUUUGUUUGUUUGUUUGUUUUUAGACGGAGUCUCUCGCUCUAUGGCCUAGGCUGGAGUGUAGUGGGGCGAUCUCUGCUCACUGCAACCUCCUCCUCCCUGGUUCAAGGGAUUCUCCUGUCUCAGCCUCCCGAGUAGUUGGGACUACAGGCGCAAGCCACCACGGUCAGCUGAUUUUGUGUUUUUAGUAGAGACAGGGUUUCAUCAUGAUGGCCAGGUUGCUGUUGGUCUCCUGACCUCAUGAUCCGCCCGCCUCUGCCUCCGCCUCCCAAAGUGCUGGGAUUACAGGGUUGAGCCACCAGGCCCAGCUUCCUAUAAUUCUUAAACUGGAAAUUACCUAGAUAGCUAAUGUCAAAUAAUAACCUUAGAUCCUAAAUUAUGACAAGUUUGUCUACAGGCAUGUAAACAAAAUUACAUUUACCCGGCUAAUUUUGUAGUUUGCCUGGAUUAUUUACACACAGAAAGAAACCCUAUGCUAGCUGAUGUUUAAAGUUACAAAGUUUAGUUGGAUGCUGUGGAAACACGCCUGUAAUCCCAGCUUUGGGAGUACCCAGGUCAAGGAUCACGAGGU